rnacentral:rRNA from 1 species
UACGGGGGGAGCAAGCGUUGUUCGGAUUUACUGGGCGUAAAGGGCGCGUAGGCGGUCAGCACAAGUCAGUUGUGAAAUCUCCGGGCUUAACUCGGAAAGGUCAACUGAUACUGUGCGACUAGAGUGCAGAAGGGGCAACUGGAAUUCUCGGUGUAGCGGUGAAAUGCGUAGAUAUCGAGAGGAACACCUGCGGCGAAGGCGGGUUGCUGGGCUGACACUGACGCUGAAGCGCGAAAGCUAGGGGAGCGAACGGG